GAACAUCAUUUGGUUGCGCCGCGCGAAAACGAUGUUGUCCCAAUCACUGAAGCUGGUGGUUGUUCAUCGGAAAACGAUGGCGUCAAAGGAGGAAGAAGAAGACCGAGUUUGGUGCUUUUGUUUAGCGUUUUGAGCUUCUUCCCUUCCCUCACCCUCCGCCACUUAACCAAAUGCUCUCUACUCUAACCUUCGCCGUCAAAGACAUGUUCGUUUCGUUUUCGUUUACACUUUCAAUUCCAUUUGUGAUUUGUUUAUUGGGAUUGUUAUUGCAGAUUUGAUGUGAACCCCCCUCUGCUCAGCAAUGGUGCUGCUUGUGUUGGCAAGACUGUCAUGGAUGAAUUCUCUUUUGGGAUUUCUCAUUGCUGAUUCAGAACAAGCUGUUGCUGUCUUCUUGUAUCCCUGGAGGUUCUUCCAGUGGUUCAGCUGUAGCAGUUGCUGCUGGCCUAGUUGACUUUGCUAUUGGUACUGAUACUACAGGUAGUGUUAGAAUUCCAGCAACAUUCUGUGGUAUUCUUGGAUUUCGUCCAUCUCAUGGAAUUGUAUCCACCAUUGGAGUUCUUUCAAACGUUCAAAGCUUGGACACUGUUGGACUUGCUAAGUCAGCUUUUUGGUGUUGAUAAUGAGAGUUUCAUGUUGCUAUUAAUGAGGAUUGUCAUUAUCUUGGAUUUUGAUGGAAAAAAUUAGAAUGCUAUGUAAGACAAGUGUCUCCUUCAAGAAUUGUUGAUACCUUCGGGAUUGUUAAUCGAGUCCUAAAUUUGGCAAUAGUACUCCUAAAUCAGUUUUCAUUUCAUGGUUUCUUCC